rnacentral:lncRNA from 1 species
GGGUGUGGGGAAUAAAGAGAAUUUUGAUUUUUUUAAUUUCUUUUUUACUUUAAUAAUUAUCUGACGCGCAUGAUUUGUUUUCUUUUUUUUAUUUUAUUUUGCCAGGUCAGUUUUAAGGGGUAAUAAAUUCACUUUUAAAUAGUAUGAGUGUGUAAUAGAUCAUCAUGAUAGUUUAAGUGUGUAACUGACUUUUCGGUACAAGUUUGGAAGAAAAAUCUAUGCAUUUUCUCUUUAAAAUAAUUAUAUAUCAUAUUUC